rnacentral:rRNA from 1 species
GAAUUCGCCCUUAGAGUUUGAUCCUGGCUCAGGACUAACGCUGGCGGCGUGCCUAAUACAUGCAAGUCGAACGGUCGUGCGUUUGUAGCAAUAUGGACGUACGAUAGUGGCGAACGGGUGAGUAACACGUGGAAAACCUACCCUCGAGCGGGGGAUAACUCCGGGAAACUGGGGCUAAUACCGCAUAACAUCCCAACCUGGCAUCGGGAGGGGAUCAAAGCCGAAAGGCACUUGAGGAUGGUUCCGCGGCCUAUCAGCUAGCUGGCGGGGUAACGGCCCACCAAGGCGACGACGGGUAGCCGGCCUGAGAGGGCGAUCGGCCACAAGGGGACUGAGACACGGCCCCUACUCCUACGGGAGGCAGCAGUAGGGAAUUUUGCUCAAUGGGGGAAACCCUGAAGCAGCGACGCCGCGUGGGCGACGAAAUCCUUCGGGAUGUAAAGCCCUUUUAACCGGGACGAAAUACAUGACGGUACCGGUGGAAUAAGCCUCGGCUAACUCCGUGCCAGCAGCCGCGGUAAGACGGGGGAGGCAAGCGUUGUCCGGAAUCACUGGGUGUAAAGGGCGUGUAGGCGGGCCGGCUAGUCGGUUGUUAAAUCUCUCCGCUCAACGGAGAAGCUGCGGCCGAUACUUCCGGUCUUGAGUGCGGCAGGGGAGGAUGGAAUUCCUGGUGUAGCGGUGAAAUGCGUAGAUAUCAGGAGGAACACCGGUGGCGAAGGCGGUCCCCUGGGCCUGCACUGACGCUGAGUGCGCGAAAGCUGGGGUAGCAAACAGAAUUAGAUACUCUGGUAGUCCCAGCCCUAAAC